ACCUGCUUUAUAAUAUAAAAGACAUGAAAAUCUCACUUUUUAUAAUAUGGGACCUUUAAGUUACACUUACUGCAUAUGUACAGUAGUAGUAAUAGUAAAAUAUGUUUAUAUGUUUUUAUACUCAAACUUAAAAACUCAAAUAUAAUGUAAUCUAUAAAAACAUUUACCAAAAAUAAGGUUUACAUCCCAACAAAACACAAAGUUAGAUAUGUAAAGUGCUCUACAUACAGAACAAAUAAUAGAAAAAUGUUCUGUACACAGCAAAACAUCAGGCUGCAUCCUGUCUUCUGGGGCCUGAAUCUCAGAGAUUAUGGCUCUCCUUGAUCUUGCUCUUCCUCUUCCUCCUCCUCACUCUCUCCCUCCUCUUGCUACGCCUCUCCCUCCUAUGUUGACAUCCACUGCUCCACGACAGCAGAGGCCUGUACUAUGAAGCAGGAUUUGCGGUUAUCGAGAUGCAGACACACAGAGACAUAAACACCGCCAUUAAGUCUAUCUGACCAUUAUCAGACAGCCCAGUCACAACAGCCCGUCUUAUCUGCAUCCUCCAUCAGCUCCAUACAGAGGCCCCAUGCUGGAGAAGCCCGAUGCCGACGUGGAGGGCAGCGUCUGGAGGGAGUAGAGCAGCCGUCUCCUUGGUCGGUCAGGGAGGGUGGAUAGAGGGGGCGAAUGCUGGGGCCUUAUCGUUCCUGUGAUCCAGUGCUCGCAGACUGAGACGCUUUUACUGGAAUCCACAACAGAUCAACAAUAGGACUCUGACUAAUCUCAGCUCUUGUACGAUGACAAGAAAAAUACGUUUCAGUAUGAUAAAAAACAUGACUUUGUAACACUGUGGGUGUUGAACGCAGGCUCAGCAUAAUUUUCCAGGC